rnacentral:rRNA from 1 species
GUAGGGAAUCUUCCACAAUGGACGAAAGUCUGAUGGAGCAACGCCGCGUGAGUGAAGAAGGUUUUCGGAUCGUAAAGCUCUGUUGUUGGUGAAGAAGGAUAGAGGCAGUAACUGGUCUUUAUUUGACGGUAAUCAACCAGAAAGUCACGGCUAACUACGUGCCAC